UCCUCUAGUAACGGCGAGUGAAUGGGGAAAAGCCCAGCGCUGAAUCCAUUGGCCCUGGUCGCUUGGAAUUGUCGCGUUAGGUGCGGUUUCCGUUUGUUUCGCGCACCCAAGUCCCCUUGAGUGGGGCUAUAGUCCAAAGAAGUGCUGACCUGUACGGGUGGCGAGACGAUCGGUUGACUCCUUGGAUCGGGUUGCCUGGGAUCGCAGCCCAUAGUUGGUGGUAACCUCAUCUAAGCUAAAUAUGGCCACGAAACCGAUUGCAAACAAGUACCGUGAGGGAAAGUUGCAAAAACUUUGAAGAGAGAGUUCAAGAGGGCUGAAACCACUGGAUUGAAACGGAUGGAGUUGACUUAACUCGCUGCAUUCAUCCGGUCAGUCUACGGUCCAAUGGUUUUGACUUCCUGGUUAGGGCGAAGCCGUCACUGUUGGGCAUUUGAUCGGGUAUUUGCGGCUGGUAUGCGCUGAGACCUUUGCAAUCGCUGUUGACAAACGUGCAUUGGACCAUUCCUUCCGGGCUGGAAACCUUCUCGCUUCAGACAUGUCGCUUAAAGUCUUGAAGAUGGCGUCGCUAUGGUGCGUCAGCUUUUCGAGCUGUUGUGGCUGCUGGAUGGUCGCAUGCGACUAUCGCAGUCAUCGAUGGUGCGGAUGAGUGUGGACGCGGCGAGGCGUUGAUCUCGGUGUGAACGUCGACCACUAUCCGACCGUCU
rnacentral:rRNA from 1 species